rnacentral:rRNA from 1 species
GGUUUCCGUANGUGAACCUGCGGAAGGAUCAUUG